rnacentral:rRNA from 1 species
UACGUAGGUGGCAAGCGUUGUCCGGAUUUACUGGGCGUAAAGAGCGCUCAGGCGGUCGUUCAAGUCGCGUGUGAAAGCCCCCGGCUCAACUGGGGAGGGUCACGCGAUACUGAUCGACUCGAAGGCAGGAGAGGGUAGUGGAAUUCCCGGUGUAGUGGUGAAAUGCGUAGAUAUCGGGAGGAACACCAGUGGCGAAGGCGACUACCUGGCCUGUUCUUGACGCUGAGGCGCGAAAGCUAGGGGAGCAAACGGG